rnacentral:lncRNA from 1 species
GUCCAAGUUGAAGGUGGUUUCCCCCCUUCAACUUGAGGGGGGGUGUUGAGAUGUAUAACUUGUCUAUGAUGAUAAUACUCAAUUGUGGACCAUUGUGGUCAUUAUAGGAGUCAUAUCUGAGCCUAAUAGGCUAUUUCUACAAUUAGGCUGUUCUUGCAAUUUGUUUGUAUAUUUUGUAUACUUUUGUAGUUAGGUCAAUUGUGUAAAUAGGCUAUUCCUGUAAUUAGGCUAUGUCAUGUAAAUAGGCCACAUAUGUNNNN